rnacentral:ribozyme from 1 species
GGGGCAAUAAGCCCCGCCUUAAUGCAGCCGACGGCGGUCACAAGCCCGCGUGUAAUGCAGAGUGAGGC